ensembl:lncRNA Ubl3 ubiquitin-like 3
CAUUAAGGCAGAACUUGUCUGCUUCCUGCGCUUUGUGUAGUUUUGCCUACUUAGAGCAGCCCUCUGUCGGUGAGGCGAGUUGACUGUUACCCCUCUGUUUUGUCAUAGAUCAGUCAUAGGGCCACUUUUCUUGUUAUGGGUCAAACAAGAUCUUGAAUUAAGAUUAAUAAAAAAACAAGCUAAUAAGCAUUAAUUGGCUUUCCUCUCUUGACUAUGAGAGUGACUGUCCAUCUCCCUCUGAACACUGGUUAUUGAGCAGCUCCCACGAGCCCUGGUGUUUCCGUGUCAGGUUAAAGGCCACAGGAUUUUUGUUAAAAUCAAGAUGCUUCAUUCUCAUUAAAUUGCAGAUUUAAAAAAUUUUGUUUUUAGAAUAAUCAGUAAAAUGACUCAUCUCAAGACAAUUGUAUAGCUGUCAGCCUUUUUUGGAAGCAAAUUAAAGCAGCUCUCAUGCUUCAGAUAGGUGGUGUUGGGCACAAUGGUACUUGGUCAGGCCAGGUUCGAGCACUGCACAGUACAGUGCUGCUGGCUGCUUGGUUAGGCUCCCUGCUGGCGUUCUGCUGGCUGCCUUCUCGGCUGCAGGUUCCCUUUGCUUAGGAGUGUUACAGGGGCGCACACAGCAAUGGCAGCUGGCUUCAGUGUAUGCAUGGCUGCUAUGGGAGAGCUACAGGCUUGCCCAGUAGCCUGUAGUUAGACUGAGGACCUGCAGCUACAAAUGAAGGCAGACAGUUGUGUUGGCUUUUUUUUAAUAGAAUAAAAGUAUUUGACAACAAUAUUUUAAUAUUUUUAUUUUAUUCCUGUGAGGGACAAGGCCCAGGUAUGGAGAACAGAGGGCAGCUUUGCAGUCAGUUCUUCUGCUUUCCCUGGGGUUCAGGCAUCAGGCUUCUUUCUGAGGUGACCUUUGCCUGCUGAGCCAUCUCACCAGCUCGGAAAAGAAUGGCCCAUGGUGGGAACAAAUGAUGUCCUUGUCAUAGGCAAUGUUGAAACAGUGGGGAAGGGGGACAUAGUGAGGCACAGGCUCUGGAUAGCUUUCUGUCACUGUGGGCACACAUAGUAGGAGGCCAGGGUCUCUUCAGCCUUUGCUCCUCUCUCCACCCACUUUGUAAGACUGGUCUCACUGUAUAUGGUGCCACUUGGCUUAGCACCACUGAACUCCAACAGCCCUCCUGCCUCAGCCUUCUGAGUAGUCAGACUAGAGGCCCGCCCGUUCACUCCACCUGUCAUUAUUGAAAUGCUGUGGUUUGGUCAGUUUCAGGUUUAAAAUUUUGGUCAUCGGGUCUCUUUGGACAUUCCUGGGUCCCCUUUUUUGAGGUGUAAUCUUGUUAAUCUCAUAGAAUUUCAUUCUGCUAAAGGAGAGGCCCAGGGAACGCUCCAAAUGUAUGUAGUUCAGAGAGAGUGUGGCAUGGCUAGAGUGCACCUGAGGCCAGCAGCAUGCUGUGCAAACACUUUGCCUCUGAGUUACCAGGCCAGCUCAUCUAAAAUACAGCCCGUAUCUCUCCAGGGUAACUUCUGAGCUCAGACCCAGGUGGUUGUUGUGUGUACAGGAAAAGGUGAAAUCCUGUCUUCUGGAUGGUGACUAAUGUGUAGAAAAGUCUUCUGAAGGAAGGAGCCCCAGUCUGGCUUCUCCUCCACCUUCUGCCAUGCUUGCUGUUUGUUACUCAGUUGGGUGCAGACGAGACGUGCCAGCCUCACCUGCUAGAUGGCGUUCAGUAUACCUGUGAGUCAGUGAUGGUGACACUGACAACUGGCAGUCUGUAGGCAGUAUAUAGAGCGUGACCUGAAGCCGGGCUGCAGAGCAGGCGUGGACGAGGUCAUUGCAGAGGUGACUCUGCUUUCUCUCACAUAAGACAGGUUUGGCGUCUGGCCAGUGGCAUAACUGGAGAGUCCCUUGGAACUGUACCUUCCCUCUGGUGAGGGAAUGUCUCCCUAUAGAGGAGCCAAGGUCGGCACUCACUCAGAAGCAUUUCAGCCCUGGCUAGUGAUUUAACAGAAUGAUGUGUCUGUGACAGAUUGUCUCUUCUUUUUUACAUAGCAUUAAAACUUCCUUUUGGCAAAACAACAGUGAUGCAUUUGGUGGCCAGAGAGACCCUGCCAGAGCCCAAUUCACAAGGUCAGAGAAACCGGGAGAAAACUGGUGAGAGCAACUGCUGUGUGAUCCUGUAACAUCGUCGCCAGCGCAGGUGUGGCAGUCUGUUACCACUGCGGGGACAGAGGAGACUCGGCAGCUUCCGACACCUGUGGGACAGUCGCCCGCACAUCCAGACUGAACCACUCAUGAGCUCUGUGAUCUCUCCUCACAAAGUAAAAAGAACCAAGAACAUUUCCAGUCUGGUCCUUUAUUCCUGUAUCUCUUGUCUGUGUUGAGCAGUCUGAAAUGCACAGUGGUCUCCAGGGGAAAUAGCAAGUCUCUCAAGUCUCUCUCUGCAGAAACCGCCUUGCUGCCACAAAGACUCCUCCACAGAAGUCAGAAGGCGAGUGCUGCAAGUUCAAUUUGCACUAAAAACAUUAUUAUUUUCCUCAUCAGCGUAAUCUGCACAUGUCUGUGGCGCCCAGACGUUCUCCUGUGUGGAGUUCACCCUGGAGGACGCCCAUCAUCAGUGCAGUUAAUACCAGGCCAGUUGGACCGGGGAAAUGGGAAGGAAUCUAACAUGCUGGGUGAAUUCUACCAAAGUCAGCCACAGUGGCUGUCCUCGAAGGAUGUCAGACUGGGCAUGACUCUUGUCACCACAGCAAAUGAGAAGCCAUGCCUGCUGCUCACAGCACUCUGUAGAGGGUGCCCCUGCUGCCUGCCCACCGAGUCCUCCCCACAGGGGGCUCAUGCAGACAGCACAGAGGGGCCGCAGUGUGUCCCUAGCCUUAAUGUGGAGGGGCCAGUGUCUCGGUGCCAUCACUGUGCAGAACUGGUGGGAAGCCUCAGCGGUUGUGUACUUGAGUAUCAGAAGAUUGAUAGCUUGCGCCACCAUCACUCAUUCGAACCCUGCCGAGUGUACUCGCUCACUAGAGCAGAGGGAUCCUUUUAAAGUCUCCAGAUGCUAAUUUUGUUACUUUCUGUAGUUUGCAUUCGGAAUCAGUGCUUGCAAUUGUAUUAAAAUCACAAGCUGAGUUUUAAGGCAUACAUGAUCAAUAGCGCCACUCUUAUUUUUACCAAUAAUUUAAAGAUUGAGAUGCUAUAAAUAAACAAUUUGCACAGCACUAAAGCAUGAGCUAAUUUCAUCUAAACCUGUAAAAAAAAGAUUUUAUAUUUUUUUCACUGGGAAGAAAUCUUCCUGGAUGAAAUUACAAAUAUGUGUAGAUUAUAUUUAAUAAAAAAGACAUAAUAAAAUAUCUAACUGUAGAAUGCAAAUAUAGAUUGGCGUGUAGCAUAUAGACCAGUAUUCCAUAUCAAUAACUUUAUCCAGCCUUUUAAAAGAUGAAGUUGCAGACUACGUUGUGUUCUGUAUUUAAUGAGGGUUCUUGGCCCUCGGCAGCAUUAAAUGUAAAUGGUCUCUAUGGUCAUCUUUGUUUAAAUGCAAUCAGGUUACUUUAUUCAUUGUUAAUGCUUCCAUGAGAAGGCUUUAUAUGCAGUAGAUCUACGAAAAUAUUGUUCAUACUGAUCAGAAUUAAAUUUGUAUAGAGCAGAGUUUUAAAAUGAAUGUAAAUAGCACUAAACCUUUUCUUUCUGCAGCCUGUACUUAAUAGAUUUCUUCUGUAAACUAAAUAAAAAAAAAUUGUAGUGCAUUUUGUUGGUGAUUUAAAGGUCAGCGAUGGUUUAAGCAUAGUCUCAUCUAUUUUGCAGUUAAUUUUCUACUCUCCUGAGGCUUCUCUGUUGCUACUUGGGAGUGCCCCAGUGUGGCUUCCAGUCAGCUGGCUAAUGUGGGAGGCCCAGCACUGGGGUUGUGUGUUUGUUAUCCCGAAGAUGUUAAUGUGGAAGAUGUUAAUGGGGCAGGUAGCCAUGGU